rnacentral:rRNA from 1 species
UACAGAGGUGGCAAGCGUUGUUCGGAAUUACUGGGCGUAAAGGGCUCGUAGGCGGCCAACUAAGUCAGACGUGAAAUCCCUCGGCUUAACCGGGGAACUGCGUCUGAUACUGGAUGGCUCGAGUUUGGGAGAGGGAUGCGGAAUUCCAGGUGUAGCGGUGAAAUGCGUAGAUAUCUGGAGGAACACCGGUGGCGAAGGCGGCAUCCUGGACCAACACUGACGCUGAGUGAGCGAAAGCCAGGGGAGCAAACGGG